CUAAUACAUGCAAGUCGAACGGACAAGUAAGAGCUUGCUCUUAUGAGUUAGUGGCGCACGGGUGAGUAAUGUAUAGCUAAUCUGCCCUACACUAGAGGACAACAGUUGGAAACGACUGCUAAUACUCUAUACUCCUCUCUAGCAUAAGUUAGAUAGGGAAAGCUUUUCGGUGUAGGAUGAGGCUAUAUUGUAUCAGCUAGUUGGUGAGGUAAUGGCUCACCAAGGCUAUGACGCAUAACUGGUCUGAGAGGAUGAUCAGUCACACUGGAACUGAGACACGGUCCAGACUCCUACGGGAGGCAGCAGUAGGGAAUAUUGCUCAAUGGGGGAAACCCUGAAGCAGCAACGCCGCGUGGAGGAUGACACUUUUCGGAGCGUAAACUCCUUUUGUUAGGGAAGAACAAUGACGGUACCUAACGAAUAAGCACCGGCUAACUCCGUGCCAGCAGCCGCGGUAAUACGGAGGGUGCAAGCGUUACUCGGAAUCACUGGGCGUAAAGGACGCGUAGGCGGAUUAUCAAGUCUCUUGUGAAAUCCUAUGGCUUGACCAUAGAACUGCUUGGGAAACUGAUAAUCUAGAGUGAGGGAGAGGCAGAUGGAAUUGGUGGUGUAGGGGUAAAAUCCGUAGAGAUCACCAGGAAUACCCAUUGCGAAGG
rnacentral:rRNA from 1 species